UGGUGGAGUGAUUUGUCUGCUUGAUUGCGUAAAACGAACGAGACUCUAGCCUGCUAAAUAGAUUGGCGAUCUCAAUUGGUCGACCAACUGCUUCUUAGAGGGACAAGUGGCGUCUUAGCCACGCGAAAUUGAGCAAUAACA
rnacentral:rRNA from 1 species